CCUACGGGGGGCAGCAGUGGGGAAUAUUGCACAAUGGGGGAAACCCUGAUGCAGCGACGCCGCGUGAGUGAAGAAGUACUUCGUUAUGUAAAGCCCUAUCAGCAGGGAAGAAAAUGACGGUACCUGAGUAAGAAGCCCCGGCUAACUACGUGCCAGCAGCCGCGGUAAUACGGAGGGGGCCAGCGUUAUACGGAUUUACUGGGGUUAAAGGGAGCGUAGACGGCAGUGAAAGUCUGGAGUGAAAGGCGGGGGCUCAACCCCCGGACUGCUCUGGAAACUGUAGGGCGUGAGUGCGGGAGAGGUAAGUGGAAUUCCUAGUGUAGCGGUGAAAUGCGGAGAUAUUAGGAGGAACACCAGUGGCGAAGGCGGCUUACUGGACUGUAACUGACGUUGAGGCUCGAAAGCGUGGGGAGCAAACAGGAUUAGAUACCCCUGUAGUC
rnacentral:rRNA from 1 species